ensembl:lncRNA
UUUUUUUACUGUUAUUUCCCCAACACAAUUUUUUCCCACUGUACAGAGGGGACCCAGUACACAUAUAUGUAUACAUAAUUUUUUCUUCCACUGACAUGCUUUGUUGUAAGGAUCUACACAUAGUUCUCAGUGCUACACAGCAGGAUCUCAUUGCUAAUCCAUUCCAAAGGCAAUAGUUUCCAUCUAUUAACCCCAAGCUCCCAAUCCACCCUACUCCCUUCCCCUCCCCCAAGGCAACCACAAGUCUAUUCUCCACGCCCAUGAUUUUCUUUUUUUAUUGAAAGGUCCAUUUGUGCCCUAUAUUAGAUUCCAGAUAUAAGUGAUAUCAUAUGGUAUUUGUCUUGCUCUUUCUGACUUAACUUCACUCAGUAUGAGAGUCUCUAGUUCCAUCCAUGUUGCUGCAAAUGACACUAUGUCAUUCUUUUUUAUGGCUGAAUAGUAUUCCAUUGUGCAUAUAUACCACAUCUUCCUAAUUCAAUCAUCUGUCGAUAGACAUUUGGGUUGUUUCCAUGUCUUGGCUAUUGUGAAUAGAGCUUCAGUGAACAUGUGGGUGCAUGUGUCUUUUUUAAGGAAAGUUUUGUCUGGAUAUAUACCCAAGAGUGGGAUUGCUGGAUCAUAUGGUAGUUCUAUGUAUAGUUUUCUAAGGUACCUCAGUACUGUCCUCCAUAGUGGCUGUACCAGCUUACAUUCCCACCAACAGUGCAGGGGGGGUUCCCUUUUCUUUUCAUGUCAUGUGCUUGUUGGCCAUCUGUACAUCUUCUUUGGAAAAAUGUCUAUUCAGGUCUUUUGCCCAUUUUUCCAUUUGGUUAUUGGUUUUUUGCUGUUGAGUUGUAUUAGUCCAUACAAUUAUCUCAAGAGAUGCAGAAAAAGCAUUCCACAAAGUCUAAUAUUGGUUUAUGAUAAAAACUCUCACCAAAGUGGGUAUAGAGGGAAUAUCCCUUAACAUAAUCAAAGCCAUUUAUGAAAAACCCAUAGCAAAAAUAAUACUCAAUGGAGAAAACCUGAUAGCCUUCCCACUAAAAUCUGGAACAAGGCAGGGAUGCCCACUCUCACCACUGCUAUUCAACAUAGUACUGGAAGUCCUAGCCACAGCAAUCAGACAAAGAAAAGAAAUAAAAGGCAUCCAAACAGGAAGAGAAUAAACUGCCACUGUAUGCAGAUGACAUGAUACUACACAGAGAAAACCCUAAGGACUUGACCCAAAAAUUAUUUGAACUGAUCACAAAUUCAGCAAAGUAGCAAAGAUUAGCAUUCAGAAAUCAGUUGCAUUUCUGUAUACUAACAAUGAAACUUUAGAAAAGGAAUGCAAAAAUACAAUAACUUUUAAAAUUGCACCCCCCAAAACUCAAAUACCUGGGAAUAUACACCUGACCAAGGAGGCAAAGGACCUAUAUGCCAAGAACUAUAAAACUUUAAUCAAGGAAAUUAAAGAAGAUGUAAAGAAAUGGAAAGAUAUUCCAUGCUCCUGGGUUAGAAAAAUUAAUAUUGUAAAAAUGACCAUACUACCCAAAGCAAUGUACAGAUUCGAUGCAAUCCCUAAAAUAUCACCCAUGACAUUUUUCACAGAACUAGAACAAAUAGUCCAAAAAUUUAUAUGGAACUACAAAAGACCCAGAAUUGCCAAAGCAACUCUGAGGAACAAAAACCAAGCAGGAGGCAUAACUCCCCCAGACCUCAAGCAAUAUUACAAAGCCACAGUCAUCAAGACAGUAUGGUACUGGUACCAGAACAGACAUAUGGACAAAUGGAACAGAAUAGAGAACACAGAAAUAAACCCUGACAUUUAUGGUCAAUUAAUCUUCAACAAAGGAGGCAAGGACAUAAAAAUGGGAAAAAGAGUCUUUUCAGCAAGAAUUGCUGGGAAACCUGGACAGCCGCAUGUAAAUCAAUGAAACUGGAACACACCCUCACACCAUGCACAAAAAUAAACUCAAAAUGGCUGAAAGAUCUAAAUAUAAGACAAGACACCAUCAAACUCCUGGAAUAGAAUAUAGGCAAAACAUUCUCUGACAUCAACCUUAUGAAUGUUUUCUCAGGUCAGUCUCCCAAACCAACAGAAAUAAAAGCAAAAAUAAACCAAUGGGACCUAAUCAAACUGACAAGCUUUUGCACAGCAAAGGAAACCAAAAAGAAAACAAAAAGACAACUUACAGAAUGGGAGAAAAUUGUUUCAAAUGAUGAAACUGACAAGGGCUUAAUCUCUAAAAUAUACAAAAGUAUGUUUCUUAACAAAAACUCACUGUGACACUAGGUGGUAGGAUUAUGGAUUUCCUUUAUUCUUUGCUCUAUGAUCCAAAAUGUCCCAAAUAUGCCUAUAACACAUUUAUUAUCUGAAAAAAUAAAUGUUUAUUUAAAAAAUAUAUGGCCUAUGAAAAUCUACCUAGCUCUUUGAUGCCAUAAGCACGCAACUCUUGAAUACCAUACAAAAGAAUCUACAUGACUGAAGAUGAAACAGCUUUGCAAUCAAUGGAGUGUUUUCUUCUUUUCCCAUUAGUAGCAAAGGAAUAUAAAAAAAAAGAAAUUAACUUUAGAAAUAUUAAAAGUGUGC